UCAAGCAUUUUUACUGUACCAAUGUGGAGAAAUUGAAGAAUAAAAGUCCCAUAUUUAUACUUCCAGAUUCCAUAUUUUCUUAUAUUUGAGCUGCUGUAAAAAUGUAAACUGUAUGUGGAACCACCUGCAACAGCUGUCACACUGAAUAAUAUAAAAAAUAAUAUGUGAGGAAGAGACAGUAGGUACAAUGGUGUUUUGAAGUUAAAACUAAUUAUUUUUCCCUUUUACCUACAAAUGGACACAGCAGAGCUGCAAAAUAAGAAGAAUGUGGACUGGCAUUGCAUUUUGUGUGAAAAGUAAACAAAUUAGAAUUGUGUAGGAUUUUGUGUUUAGUGUUUAUAUUAUCAAGAUGUUAUUAAACAUUUGUGUGAAAUUU